UUAUUUGCAUCAGCCUCUGUGGAAACCAUUUGCUGUUUGCAGAAAUGACAGACAACAGGCUGAAAGAGUACUGGGAAUAUUUCAAGCAGCACUGUUUAUUUUAUGCCGGUUGGAUAUAAAGAGUUAAAGAUUACAACUGGCUGACAGAGGAAAUAUUUUUUCCUGUAUGUCAGAAAGGAUGUAUCAACAAAUUCCACAUAAAGAGAGGAACCGAGAAGACCAGCACAGAACAAACAUCUAUCCUGAAUGUACAUGUACAUGUAAACUACACUUUUAAACAGGAAUGGAAGACUGUCCAAAUCCAGCUACAAUAGGAGAACUUCCAGAUAUACGGCGUGACACAGAAGAUUUCCGAACAGUGUCAGGAUAAUCCGUAUGGAUUUAAUGGUGUGGUGGUGUUUGGAGAUGAAACCUAUUGCAUUACCCCAGGAUGUAUUCCAGAUAUGACUGGCUACAAUCAACACCUAACUAGACGUGGAAAUGGCUUUAUUGCUGGAGUCAUUCAUGCAGACCAUCGGAAUAAUGCUCGGGCAUCUCGUCAAAUGCUGUCAGUGAAUGUUGCAGUGACUGUGUCUGCUAUAUCGGCACCAAUGAACACUCGCAACCAACCAGGAGGUCGUCACAUGGACCCACCUUUUACUGAUGGUUACGUAUUACAACCCGUUUAUGGAUGGGGAGGAAACAGGUCUCAGCUUUGGGACAGAGAUGAACAACACGAGGAGGCGGAGAGAAAUUUGCGUCUGAAGGAGAAGAAGAAAAAAGUUGGAAGAAGGAGGAAAAGAUCCCGCCAUGCUGGUCAUUAGAGGGGCUAAAGAUCUGACCAGCAUGUUUCAGAUCAAAUAUUAAAAAAAUAUUCAUAGG
rnacentral:lncRNA from 1 species